rnacentral:rRNA from 1 species
GGGGAAUUUUCCGCAAUGGGCGCAAGCCUGACGGAGCAAGACCGCGUGGGGGAGGGAGGUUUGUGGACUGUAAACCCCUUUUAUCAGAGAAGAACACAAUGACGGUAUCUGAUGAAUCAGCCUCGGCUAACUCCGUGCCAGCAGCCGCGGUAAUACGGAGGAGGCAAGCGUUAUCCGGAAUUAUUGGGCGUAAAGCGUCCGUAGGUGGCAGUUCAAGUCCAUUGUCAAAGCGUGGAGCUUAACUCCAUAAAGGCAGUGGAAACUGAAUCGCUGGAGUGCGACAGGGGCAAGGGGAAUUCCUAGUGUAGCGGUGAAAUGCGUAGAGAUUAGGAAGAACACCGGUGGCGAAAGCGCCUUGCUGGGUCUGCACUGACACUGAUGGACGAAAGCUAGGGGAGCGAAAGGGAUUAGAUACCCCUGUAGUCCUAGCUGUAAACGAUGGGUACUAGGCGUUGACCGUAUCGACCCGGUCAGUGCCGGAGCUAACGCGUUAAGUACCCCGCCUGGGGAGUACGCUCGCGAGAGUGAAACUCAAAGGAAUUGACGGGGGCCCGCACAAGCGGUGGAGUAUGUGGUUUAAUUCGAUGCAACGCGAAGAACCUUACCAGGGCUUGACAUGUCGCGAACCUUUGUGAAAGCAGAGGGUGCCUUCGGGAGCGCGAACACAGGUGGUGCAUGGCUGUCGUCAGCUCGUGUCGUGAGAUGUUGGGUUAAGUCCCGCAACGAGCGCAACCCUCGUUCUUAGUUGCCAGCGAUUCGGUCGGGCACUCUAGGGAGACUGCCGGUGACAAACCGGAGGAAGGUGGGGAUGACGUCAAGUCAGCAUGCCCCUUACGCUCUGGGCUACACACGUACUACAAUGCUUCGGACAGAGGGUUGCAAGCGCGCGAGUGUAAGCUAAUCCCAUAAACCGAGGCACAGUUCAGAUUGCAGGCUGCAACUCGCCUGCAUGAAGGCGGAAUCGCUAGUAAUCGCAGGUCAGCAUACUGCGGUGAAUACGUUCCCGGGCCUUGUACACACCGCCCGUCACACCAUGGGAGUUGGUUUUGCCCGAAGUCGUUACCCCAACCGUUCGCGGAGGGGGACGCCGAAGGCAGGGCUGAUGACUGGGGUGAAGUCGUAACAAGGUAGCCGUACCGGAAGGUGUGGCUGGAUCACCUCCUU